rnacentral:tRNA from 1 species
AGAUGGCUAAUUUAACCAAAAUAGUUAGUUUCGACCUAACCAAUCAUGAUUUAAACACAUGGCCACCUU